rnacentral:ncRNA from 2 species
GGCCGACGUCGUGGCGAUUUGUUCACCGGAUUGCGGGCCACGCUAAACAUUCCGCUAAAGAGGUCAGGCGCGGCCCCCU